GUGAAUCAUCGAAUCUUUGAACGCACAUUGCGCCCAUUAGUAUUCUAGUGGGCAUGCCUGUUCGAGCGUCAUUUCAACCCCUAAGCACAGCUUAUUGUUGGGACUCUACGGCUUCGUAGUUCCCCAAAGACAUUGGCGGAGUGGCAGCAGUCCUCUGAGCGUAGUAAUUCUUUAUCUCGCUUUUGUUAGGCGCUGCCCCCCCGGCCGUAAAACCCCCAAUUUUUUCUGGUUGACCUCGGAUCAGGUAGGAAUACCCGCUGAACUUAAGCAUAUCAAUAAGCGGAGGA
rnacentral:misc_RNA from 1 species